AUCUCUUUGUAGACCUAUGAUAAAAUUAGAACUAUACACAGAAGAUUAGCAUGACCCUAAAUCGAGCAAUGAUCCAAAUUUUUUAGAAUAAUAGAUCUUUUUA